rnacentral:rRNA from 1 species
AUUGAACGCUGGCGGCAGGCCUAACACAUGCAAGUCGAACGGUAGCACAGAGGAGCUUGCUCCUCGGGUGACGAGUGGCGGACGGGUGAGUAAUGUCUGGGGAUCUGCCCGAUAGAGAGGGAUAACCACUGGAAACGGUGGCUAAUACCGCAUAACGUCGCAAGACCAAAGAGGGGGACCUUCGGGCCUCUCACCAUCGGAUGAACCCAGAUGGGGUUAGCUAGUAGGCGGGGUAACGGCCCACCUAGGCGACGAUCCCUAGCUGGUCUGAGAGGAUGACCAGCCACACUGGAACUGAGACACGGUCCAGACUCCUACGGGAGGCAGCAGUGGGGAAUAUUGCACAAUGGGCGCAAGCCUGAUGCAGCCAUGCCGCGUGUAUGAAGAAGGCCUUCGGGUUGUAAAGUACUUUCAGCGGGGAGGAAGGCGAUGUGGUUAAUAACCGCAUUGAUUGACGUUACCCGCAGAAGAAGCACCGGCUAACUCCGUGCCAGCCGCCGCCGUAA